rnacentral:rRNA from 1 species
GAUGAACGCUGGCGGCGUGCCUAAUACAUGCAAGUCGAGCGAACGGACGAGAAGCUUGCUUCUCUGAUGUUAGCGGCGGACGGGUGAGUAACACGUGGAUAACCUACCUAUAAGACGGGGAUAACUUCGGGAAACCGGAGCUAAUACCGGAGAAUAUUUUGAACCGCAUGGUUCAAAAGUGAAAGACGGUGUUGCUGUCACUUAUAGAUGGAUCUGGGCUGCAUUAGCUAGUUGGUAAGGUAAAGGCUUACCAAGGCAACGAUGCAUAGCCGAGCUGCGAGGGUGAUCGGCCACCCGGGAACGGAGACACGGUCCAGACUCCUAAGGGAGGCAGCAGUAGGGAAUCUUCCGCAAUGGGCGAAAGCCUGGCGGAGCAACGGCGCGUGAGUGAUGAAGGUCUUCGGAUCGUAAAACUCUGUUAUUAGGGAAGAACAGAUGUGUAAGGAACUGUGCACAUCUUGACGGUACCUAAUCAGAAAGCCACGGCUAACUACGUG